AUGCCGUCCUGCUCGCGCGUCGCCGUGAUCGGCGCGGGGGCGGCGGGCCUGGCGGCGGCGCGCGAGCUGCGGCGCGAGGGCCACGCGCCCGUCGUCUUCGAGCGCGCCGCGGCCGUGGGCGGCACCUGGCGCUACGACGCCGCCGAGGACGCCGCCGACCCGCUCGGCGCCGGCGGCGCGCACUCGAGCCUCUACGCGUCCCUCCGCACCAACCUCCCCCGCGAGAGCAUGGGCUUCCUCGACUUCCCCUUCGUCGCGGGCCGCUCCUCAGCCGACCCGCGCAGGUUCCCCGGGCACCCGGAGGUGCUCCGGUACCUCGAGGCGUUCGCGCGGCGGUUCGACCUCCUCGGGCUGGUCCGGUUCGAGACGGAGGUCGUCAGCGUCCGCCGAAGCAGGGACGACGGCGCGGGCGCGGCGGGCUGGAGGGUCUCGUACCGCUCGAGGAGGCCCGACGGCGCCGGCGGCGAGCCGGAGGAGGAGGUGUUCGACGCCGUGGUCGUCUGCAACGGCCACUUCACCGAGCCACGCGUCGCCGCCAUCGCCGGCGUCCAUUGCUGGCCCGGGAAACAGAUGCACAGCCACAGCUACCGCGUGCCUGAUCCAUUUCGUGGCCAGGUUGUGAUGGUGAUAGGGUACCAACCGAGCGGCAUGGACAUCUCGAGGGACAUCGCCGGUGUGGCCAAAGAGGUCCACGUCGCCAUGCGAUCAGAACCUCCUUAUCAAAUGCACACUACUACUGCGACUGGCCAUGCCAACCUGUGGCUCCAUUCCUGCACGAUUGAGCGGGCGGAGGAAGACGGUAGCUUGGUGUUCCAAGACGGCAGCAAGAUCAAAGCUGAUGUCGUCCUGCACUGCACUGGAUACAAGUAUAACUUCCCGUUCCUAGGUGACAGCGACGACGAACUGGCCGGUGCAAUCUCCGUGGACGACAACCGCGUGGGCCCGCUGUACAAGCACGUAUUCCCGCCAAUGUUGGCUCCUCACGUCUCCUUCAUCGGAUUGCCCUUCAGGACGAUCCCUUUUCUAGUGUUUCAGCUCCAAAGCAAGUGGGUGGCCGGUGUUCUGUCGGGAAGACUCGAGCUCCCAUCACAAGAAGCCAUGAUGCGGGAUGUGGAUGCGUUCUACUCGGACAUGGAAGCUCGCGGAUGCGCCAAGAGACGCACUCAUGACCUGGGACAAGGCAAUCCGUUUGAGUAUGAGGACUGGGUGGCGGAGCAAUGCGGGCUGGGGAGGAUGGAAGGAUGGAGGAAGGGCAUGUUCGUUGCGACGUGUAAGAACCUGGCUGAUCGCCCGGACAGCUACCGGGAUGAAUGGGACGACGACCACCUGUUGCCACAGGCGCAUCAGGAUUUCAGAAAGCAUUCCUACCUGACCGAUCAAUAUUGA
rnacentral:rRNA from 1 species